rnacentral:tRNA from 1 species
GAGCCGUUAGCUCAAUCAGGCAGAGCAACUGACUCUUAAUCAGUAGGUUGGAGGUUCGAUUCCUCCACGGCUCACCA